CCUACGGGUGGCAGCAGUAGGGAAUCUUUCACAAUGGGCGAAAGCCUGAUGCAGCAACGCCGCGUGCAGGAUGAAGGCCCUCGGGUUGUAAACCGCUUUUAUAAGCGAGGAAUAUGAUGGUAACUUAUGAAUAAGGAUCGGCUAACUACGUGCCAGCAGCCGCGGUCAUACGUAGGAUGCGAGCAUUAUCCGGAGUGACUGGGUGUAAAGAGUUGCGUAGGUGGCAUAAUAAGUAGCUAGGGAAAUCUGGUGGCUCAACCAUUCAGACUAUUAGCGAAACUGUUAAGCUCGAGAGCGUGAGGGGUAGCUGGAAUUCCUGGUGUAGGGGUGAAAUGCGUAGAUAUUAGGAGGAACACCGAUAGCGAAGGCAGGUUACUGGGACGGUACUGACGCUGAGGCACGAAAGCGUAGGGAGCAAACGGGAUUAGAUACCCCUGUAGUC
rnacentral:rRNA from 1 species